rnacentral:rRNA from 1 species
CCUACGGGUGGCAGCAGUGAGGAAUAUUGGUCAAUGGACGAGAGUCUGAACCAGCCAAGUAGCGUGAAGGAUGACUGCCCUAUGGGUUGUAAACUUCUUUUAUAUGGGAAUAAAAUGUUCCACGUGUGGGAUUUUGUAUGUACCAUAAGAAUAAGGAUCGGCUAACUCUGUGCCAGCAGCCGCGGUAAUACGUAGGAGCUGAGCGUUAUCCGGAUUUAUUGGGUUUAAAGGGAGCGUAGGUGGAUUGUUAAGUCAGUUGUGAAAGUUUGCGGCUCAACCGUAAAAUUGCAGUUGAAACUGGCAGUCUUGAGUACAGUAGAGGUGGGCGGAAUUCGUGGUGUAGCGGUGAAAUGCUUAGAUAUCACGAAGAACUCCAGUUGCGAAGGCAGUUCACUGGACUGCAACUGACACUGAGGCUCGAAAGUGUGGGUAUCAAACAGGAUUAGAUACCCCAGUAGUC